rnacentral:rRNA from 1 species
GGUGAACGCUGGCGGUGGGCCUAACACAUGCAAGUCGAGCGGCCACACAGUCAGCUCUUGCUCUUACCGGUUGCGACUGGCGGACGGGUGACCCGUAAAUCGGCAACCACUAUUUCUUGGGGAACAUCGUGGGGCCACUACCGCUACUAGCGCAUACAUUCUACCGGUGACAGCAUGGGUUCUUGGGACCUUGCCCGUUUCGAUGAGCCGAGGCCGAAUUAGCUAGUUGGUUGGGUAAAGGCCCACCUAGGCGACGAUACGUAGCCGAUCUGAGAGGAUGAUCAGCCACACUGGAACUGAGACACGGUCCAGACUCCUACGGGAGGCAGCAGUGGGGAAUAUUCGGCAAUGGGCGCAAGCCUGACGGAGCCAUACCGCGUGAGUGAAGAAGGCCUUCGGGUAGUAAAACUCUGUUGUUAGGAAAGAACAGCUGUGGAUUAAUCCAGCGCUGUUCUGACGGUACCCAAUGAAUAAGCAACGGCUAACUUCGUG